ACUGCUCUUCUAGUACUUCUCAAGUACUUUGAGAAUGCUUUCACAAUUUUUAUAAGUCCUAUCAUGGAUCAGUCUAAAAUUAAUGAUUAUGCAUAAGGCAUAAAUCAUAUCAGGCUUGUUACAUUGAAUAUAUGGAUAAGUAAACUUUUUUACACCCAUUCAUAUGGAAUAUCUUCAACAUAAAAUUCAUGUAUGUAUACUGGAAAAAGCCUAACAUCCACUUACAUCUAUCCC
rnacentral:lncRNA from 1 species